AAUGCUGGCCCUACCUUCUCCCCUUCCCUUGGCUUAUAGGCAAUGGGGACAGCCCAUAAAUGCUGGCUCCUUCCUCAGCAUAAUGGUUCCUUGGACUGCAUCUAAACAGACUCUAACUUUUGGGAACUGAGUUAUAACUUCACAUCUCCUCCCUCUGACCUGUUUCCUCUCAACAGCCAAGACCUCUCUGCUUCUUACUCUCAAGCUUCAAGUAGAUUUGGUGUAACUCCCAGCAGCGGUGAUGGUAAAUCCAGACCAGCUCGAGAGGCAGGACUGAGCCUGACUAAGGGCUUUGCUGGCCCCAGUCUGCCCAGUUGAGGGCUCACCACCACCAGGGGACAAAAAAGAACAGUGGCUCAGCAGCUCCUGCCAUUGACGUCUAUGCAUGAGGGAGUCAACUGGCACUGUACUCCAUGUUGAACUGUAAAAGUAAAAAUGUUUUCCCAGUCAAGUUAGGGUUGGUCUCUCUCACCCACA
rnacentral:lncRNA from 1 species